GCCGGGCGAGGUGGCGGGAGCCUGUAGUCCCAGCUACUUGGGAGGCUGAGGCAGGAGAAUGGCGUGAACCCGGGAGGCGGAGCUUGCAGUGAGCCGAGAUCGUGCCACUGCACUCCAGCCUGGGCGACAGAGCGAGACUCCAUCUCAAAAAAAAAAAAAAAAAAAAAAAAAAAAAUUGUCCUAGGCUGGAGUGCUGUGGCACGAUCUUGGCUCACUGCAAGCUCCACCUCCCGGGUUCAAACGAUUCUCCUACCUCAG
rnacentral:SRP_RNA from 1 species